rnacentral:rRNA from 1 species
UAACGAGCGAGACUCUGGCCUACUAAAUAGUUGGCACAUUGCCAUUGUGUGCACAACUUCUUAGAGGGAUUUUCGGUGUUCAGCCGCACGAAAUUGAGCAAUAACAGGUCUGUGAUGCCCUUAGAUGUCCGGGGCUGCACGCGCGCUACACUGGCAAAAUCAACGUGCUUGUCCUCCCCCGAAAGGGGUUGGUAAACCGAUGAAAAUUUGCCGUGAUUGGGAUCGGACAUUGCAAUUAUUGUCCGUGAACGAGGAAUCCCUUGUAAGGGCGAGUCAUCAACUCGUCCUGAAUACGUCCCUGCCCUUUGUACACACCGCCCGUCGCUGCCCGGGACUGAGCCAUUUCGAGAAAACCGGGGAUUGUUGGCCUGACGGCUCUCGGGUCGUCUAGCCGAUGAGAACCGGCUUAAUCGCACUGGUUUGAACCGGGCAAAAGUCGUAACAAGGUAGCUGUAGGUGAACCUGCUGCUGGAUCAUU